AAAACAGGGCUACUUUCAAUUGCUCUUUUCCUGCAUUGAGAAGCUACUCUCAUUCCUUAAUGUUGAAAGCAUCGUGGUUCCAGCAGCUGAAGAGGCAGAGUCCUUAUGGAUGAACAAAUUUGGGUUCAGAAAACUUGUACCUGAACAGCUCAGCAAGUACAUAAAGACGUGCUACCAAAUGGUGAGGUUCAAAGGAUCAUCCAUGCUGCAGAAACCAGUGCACUCGCACCAAGUCGUUGACAAUAAGAUCGAAACCGGUGUAUCUUUAGAAGAAAAUUUUGAUUUGAAACAACCCAAUGAGUUGUAUGUACAUCCUUUGUGUUGAGGUAAAUCAAGUCAUGUAUUUGGUUAAAGAUGGAUUUGAAGAGUGAAGGGUUUAGGAGGUUUUUAAUUAGUUCUUACAACAAAAUCUGUGUAAAUUUUGUAGAUGCGGAGCUGUUUUUUGGUUACAUAUUAGGUUCACAUUUCUUACAAAGAAGAAUGUUUUUGUUUGGAUAUAUCAUGAUCGUUACUUUCUUUA